rnacentral:rRNA from 1 species
UACGAAGGUCCCGAGCGUUGUUCGGAAUCACUGGGCGUAAAGGGAGCGUAGGCGGCAUGGUAAGUCAGAUGUGAAAUCCCGGGGCUCAACCCCGGAACUGCAUCCGAUACUGCCUUGCUUGAGGGUUGGAGAGGUGACUGGAAUUCUCGGUGUAGCAGUGAAAUGCGUGGAUAUCGAGAAGGAACACUCGUGGCGAAGGCGAGUCACUGGACAACAUCUGACGCUGGAGGCUACGAAGGCUAGGGGAGCAAAAGGG